rnacentral:rRNA from 1 species
AGAGUUUGAUCAUGGCUCAGAUUGAACGCUGGCGGCAGGCCUAACACAUGCAAGUCGAACGGUAACAGGAAGCAGCUUGCUGCUUCGCUGACGAGUGGCGGACGGGUGAGUAAUGUCUGGGAAACUGCCUGAUGGAGGGGGAUAACUACUGGAAACGGUGGCUAAUACCGCAUAACGUCGCAAGACCAAAGAGGGGGACCUUCGGGCCUCUUGCCAUCAGAUGUGCCCAGAUGGGAUUAGCUUGUUGGUGAGGUAACGGCUCACCAAGGCGACGAUCCCUAGCUGGUCUGAGAGGAUGACCAGCCACACUGGAACUGAGACACGGUCCAGACUCCUACGGGAGGCAGCAGUGGGGAAUAUUGCACAAUGGGCGCAAGCCUGAUGCAGCCAUGCCGCGUGUAUGAAGAAGGCCUUCGGGUUGUAAAGUACUUUCAGCGGGGAGGAAGGUGUUGUGGUUAAUAACCGCAGCAAUUGACGUUACCCGCAGAAGAAGCACCGGCUAACUCCGUGCCAGCAGCCGCGGUAAUACGGAGGGUGCAAGCGUUAAUCGGAAUUACUGGGCGUAAAGCGCACGCAGGCGGUCUGUCAAGUCGGAUGUGAAAUCCCCGGGCUCAACCUGGGAACUGCAUUCGAAACUGGCAGGCUUGAGUCUUGUAGAGGGGGGUAGAAUUCCAGGUGUAGCGGUGAAAUGCGUAGAGAUCUGGAGGAAUACCGGUGGCGAAGGCGGCCCCCUGGACAAAGACUGACGCUCAGGUGCGAAAGCGUGGGGAGCAAACAGGAUUAGAUACCCUGGUAGUCCACGCCGUAAACGAUGUCUACUUGGAGGUUGUGCCCUUGAGGCGUGGCUUCCGGAGCUAACGCGUUAAGUAGACCGCCUGGGGAGUACGGCCGCAAGGUUAAAACUCAAAUGAAUUGACGGGGGCCCGCACAAGCGGUGGAGCAUGUGGUUUAAUUCGAUGCAACGCGAAGAACCUUACCUGGUCUUGACAUCCACGGAAGUUUUCAGAGAUGAGAAUGUGCCUUCGGGAACCAAGAACCUUACCUGGUCUUGACAUCCACAGAAGAAUCCAGAGAUGGAUUUGUGCCUUCGGGAACUGUGAGACAGGUGCUGC